CGAGUCAGAGAAGAGCCAGAAGCUGGAGGAGAGGCUGCGCCUGCUGCAGGCAGAGACAGCCAGCAACAGUGCCAGAGCUGCAGAACGCAGCUCUGCUCUGCGGGAGGAGGUGCAGAGCCUCCGGGAGGAGGCUGAGAAACAGCGGGUGGCUUCAGAGAACCUGCGGCAGGAGCUGACCUCACAGGCUGAGCGUGCGGAGGAGCUGGGCCAAGAAUUGAAGGCGUGGCAGGAGAAGUUCUUCCAGAAAGAGCAGGCCCUCUCCACCCUGCAGCUCGAGCACACCAGCACACAGGCCCUGGUGAGUGAGCUGCUGCCAGCUAAGCACCUCUGCCAGCAGCUGCAGGCCGAGCAGGCCGCUGCCGAGAAACGCCACCGUGAGGAGCUGGAGCAGAGCAAGCAGGCCGCUGGGGGACUGCGGGCAGAGCUGCUGCGGGCCCAGCGGGAGCUUGGGGAGCUGAUUCCUCUGCGGCAGAAGGUGGCAGAGCAGGAGCGAACAGCUCAGCAGCUGCGGGCAGAGAAGGCCAGCUAUGCAGAGCAGCUGAGCAUGCUGAAGAAGGCGCAUGGCCUGCUGGCAGAGGAGAACCGGGGGCUGGGUGAGCGGGCCAACCUUGGCCGGCAGUUUCUGGAAGUGGAGUUGGACCAGGCCCGGGAGAAGUAUGUCCAAGAGUUGGCAGCCGUACGUGCUGAUGCUGAGACCCGUCUGGCUGAGGUGCAGCGAGAAGCACAGAGCACUGCCCGGGAGCUGGAGGUGAUGACUGCCAAGUAUGAGGGUGCCAAGGUCAAGGUCCUGGAGGAGAGGCAGCGGUUCCAGGAAGAGAGGCAGAAACUCACUGCCCAGGUAAGUCUUCUGUCCUCCUCUUCCCUCCCCAGGUGGAAGAACUGAGUAAGAAACUGGCUGACUCUGACCAAGCCAGCAAGGUGCAGCAGCAGAAGCUGAAGGCUGUCCAGGCUCAGGGAGGCGAGAGCCAGCAGGAGGCCCAGCGCCUCCAGGCCCAGCUGAAUGAACUGCAAGCCCAGUUGAGCCAGAAGGAGCAGGCAGCUGAGCACUAUAAGCUGCAGAUGGAGAAAGCC
rnacentral:lncRNA from 1 species